rnacentral:rRNA from 1 species
GUCGAACGCUGGCGGCGUGCUUAAUACAUGCAAGUAGGACGCAGUUGCGAACGGGUGAGUAACGCGUAGGUAACUACCUAUUAGAGGGGGAUAACUAUUGGAAACGAUAGCUAAUACCGCAUACUAGUAGGUGGACCUGCGUUGUAUUAGCUAGUAGGUAGGGUAAUGGCCUACCUAGGCAACGAUACAUAGCCGACCUGAGAGGAUGAUCGGCCACACUGGGACUGAGACACGGCCCAGACUCCUACGGGAGGCAGCAGUGGGGAAUUUUGGACAAUGGGGGAAACCCUGAUCCAGCCAUCCCGCGUGUAUGAUGAAGGCCUUCGGGUUGGAAAGUACUUUUGGCAGAGAAGCGGUAUCUGCAGAAUAAGCACCGGCUAACUACGUGCCAGCAGCCGCGGUAAUUC